UGAUAUUUUUGGCAGAAAACCACCUUCUGGGUAAUAGGUCUGGUAUCUGGAGGAUUCCUGUUUCUGCUGUCGUUCGCUGACCUCACCUCUCUUCUGUGACUAAGUCUGUAUUCACCGCUGAAGUGCAUGCUUCUUGGGGAGAAAUUGUGGGUACUUCCGGUUCCCCCUGUGACUUUGUGACUUAAGCAGCAGAAGCAUUUCAUACCAUGGGUACAUGCUCCUUCCCAUUACCUCCCUACUGACAGGUGCUGUCAGAGUUAGAAAGUUCUGGAAGCUCCUCAAAACAUAGACUUAAAAUAAUAAUUAUAAUUAAUAAUAGCAAUUAACUUCCAUCACAGGUUGAGUCACCUAUAAGAGAUUGCAUGGUUAAGUUUCUUUUAAAGUCACCUCUUAACAUUUCCUUACUUACUCAGCCUCACUCAUCUUAAAAGAUUGUUAGCUUGAAUCACAGUUGUUGUUUAAAGAGGACGGAUGUUGGGGAGAGGAAUGGUUACUGAUUCCCAGAUUUUUUAAAAAUGCAAUGCAAGGAGAAUUCUGAGGAGGGAAGCACAAUGUCUGGAUUCACUAUUUUCCCCUCUCCGGGUGGUGGCUUGAUGAUGAGAAGAUACAACCCUGUCAUCAUCACUCUCUUCUUAGGACUUGCAGCAGAAAGCACUCUUCUCAUUGUAAGCAAGCUUCAUGAAAAUUAGCCUGGAAGAAAGAAGACUGGCAAGAUAUCGGCCAUACUGUUGAAAUUGAACCCUGGGAAACAAAGAUAUGUACAUACCAAAGUCAAACUUUUACUAGGAAGGUUUGGAUUGUCAAGGCUCAGGUGUGAUAUUUCAGUCUUGGUCCUAUUUACUUAGGAUGCAAUUCAGAAGGUUAAAGUUGGCCCUGGGAGAUCCAAUAAAAAAUAUACCUGAGUCCAAAUUAAUCUAGAUCUACAAUUAUUACUUUUAAUUCAUUACUAUUAUGGAUAUAUAUAUAUGUUAGGAAUUAGCAGCAGAGUGAAUCAGUAUGAUAUUUUAAGGAUUAUGCUUUUAUGCUUUUAAAUUUUAGAUAAUACAUUUCCUAAUAUUAAUUUUAAAACACUCUCUUUGCCAUGCUGUUAAGAAUUCUACUUUUUUUUUUUUCAUUUUUAUCUUCCUAACUUCUUAUUGUGACAUUGUUGGCCAGAUCCUAAAUAAUUUUAGAUACAAGCAAAAGUUUCCUUGUAUGAGUGAAUAGAAUGCUAAGUCUCUUUGGAAGUAUAUUUAUACAUUUUAUUGUAAAGUUUAAUUUUGAUUGUGCAUUUGUGUUUGUGCUUUAGAUUUCAGGAUUAUGGUAGCUUUCCUACCCAAGUAUUGGCUGAAACAGCCAAUACCCUUCUUUAAAAAAUUUCUGUAAACAGGUUUCUACACAUUGCUAACAUGAAUAAACAACUUUCCUUCUACCUCCA
rnacentral:lncRNA from 1 species